AGUGAACGCUGGCGGCAUGCCUAACACAUGCAAGUCGAACGGCAGCACAGUAAGAGCUUGCUCCUACGGGUGGCGAGGGGCGGACGGGUAAGGAAUGCAUCGGAAUCUACUUUUUCGUGGGGGACAACGUAGGGAAACUGACGCUACUACCGAAUACGACCUACGGGUGAAAGCAGGGGAUCUUCCGGCCUUGCCCGACUCAAUGAGACGAAGUCGGAUUAGCUAGUUGGCGGGGUAAAGGCCCACCAAGGCGACGAUCCGUAGCUGGUCUGAGAGGAUGAUCAGCCACACUGGAACUGAGACACGGUCCAGACUCCUACGGGAGGCAGCAGUGGGGAAUCUUGGACAAUGGGCGCAAGCCUGAUCCAGCCAUGCCGCGUGAGUGAUGAAGGCCUUCGGGUUGUAAAGCCCUUUUGUUAGGAAAGAAAAGCAGCGUAUUAAUAUACCGCUGUUCUGACGGUACCCAAAGAAUAAGCACCGGCUAACUACGUG
rnacentral:rRNA from 1 species